rnacentral:rRNA from 1 species
UGGGGAAUAUUGCACAAUGGGCGCAAGCCUGAUGCAGCAACGCCGCGUGAGGGACGACGGCCUUCGGGUUGUAAACCUCUUUUAGUAGGGAAGAAGCGAAAGUGACGGUACCUGCAGAAAAAGCACCGGCUAACUACGUGCCAGCAGCCGCGGUAAUACGUAGGGUGCAAGCGUUGUCCGGAAUUAUUGGGGCGUAAAGAGCUCGUAGGCGGUUUGUCGCGUCUGCUGUGAAAACCCGAGGCUCAACCUCGGGCCUGCAGUGGGUACGGGCAGACUAGAGUGCGGUAGGGGAGAAUGGAAUUCCUGGUGUAGCGGUGGAAUGCGCAGAUAUCAGGAGGAACACCGAUGGCGAAGGCAGUUCUCUGGGCCGUAACUGACGCUGAGGAGCGAAAGCGUGGGGAGCGAACAGGAUUAGAUACCCUGGUAGUCCACGCCGUAAACGUUGGGCGCUAGAUGUGGGGACCAUUCCACGGUUUCCGUGUCGCAGCUAACGCAUU